rnacentral:misc_RNA from 1 species
GUAUAAGAUUUAAGAGCGGUACAAUAAAGUGCCAACUCGUCAAAACAUUCUAGAUUGUAUUACAUGGUUUAUAAAAAGACAUGAACCGCGGACAGAAGUAGGGAACAGCGUCACAAAGACACAAUUCCCAAGACCAAAUGUUACUUUGAAAAUAUUUUCCAAUCCGCGAUCCACAAAAGUGCACAGGAGGUUAAAGAAUGAAAGGUUUGAACAAAGCGCGCACAUGCUCCCAGAGAGAGCCAGCAGCAGCCAAGUUCAUACAAUUCGUUAAUGAUCCUUCCGCAGGUUCACCUACGGAAA